UACGUAGGGGGCGAGCGUUGUCCGGAUUUAUUGGGCGUAAAGGGCGCGUAGGCGGCCUGCUAAGUCACACGUGAAAUCCCUCGGCUCAACCGGGGAACUGCGUGUGAUACUGGCGGGCUUGAAUUCGGGAGAGGGAUGUGGAAUUCCAGGUGUAGCGGUGAAAUGCGUAGAUAUCUGGAGGAACACCGGUGGCGAAGGCGGCAUCCUGGACCGAGAUUGACGCUGAGGCGCGAAAGCUAGGGGAGCAAACGGG
rnacentral:rRNA from 1 species